rnacentral:rRNA from 1 species
UACGAAGGGGGCUGGCGUUGCUCGGAAUCACUGGGCGUAAAGGGUGCGUAGGCGGGUCUUUAAGUCAGGGGUGAAAUCCUGGAGCUCAACUCCAGAACUGCCUUUGAUACUGAAGAUCUUGAGUGCGGGAGAGGUGAGUGGAACUGCGAGUGUAGAGGUGAAAUUCGUAGAUAUUCGCAAGAACACCAGUGGCGAAGGCGGCUCACUGGCCCGAUACUGACGCUGAGGCACGAAAGCGUGGGGAGCAAACAGG